CCCAAAUCCAGUUUGUCAUGAUCUUUUUGGGAAGAUCACAAUCAAAGUACCUCUGGGCACUGUGUGCGAGAGAAGCCCUGCAGACGAUGCUCAGGGAGCUAGAGGACAUCAGGACACCAGAGAAGGUGGCUGGAAGCAACGGGCCACCUAUCAGCCUUCCCUGACUGUGGGAGAAGUUGCACGGGUUGAUGACAUCAUCAGCUGGCGCCCAAGCAUUCCUUGCUUCUUGGCCGAACCCAGAAACAGCCAAGGGCCUCACAGACAGCCUCCAGAAAGGUGGAUGCCAUGGGAUAAUGCAUUACUGUUCAGACCACCUGAAAAUCUAAAUACGCUAUGCAUACAGUUUAAAGAGCCAGUCUGAAGGUGCCCAGUGUGGCACGAUCCUGCCUUGCUUUUAAAACAGCUGGAAUUGAAACGGAUUCAAAAUGGGAUGGUCUUUUGGUGUGAAAAGUCUGUAAACUAAACAGCCGCAGAAUGGUCAAACAGUAUACUAAGCCACGGUAGAAAGUUGGGACCGUUAACAUGUUCUGAACAGACACGGAAGAAGCCAAAUAUUUUCAUAUCUGUAAAUGGGAGGAAGAUUUGUUUUCCUUUACAGCCAUAAAGACGAGAGGGGGACGAGGGAUCACUGAUGGGCAGUUGAAUCCUACGAGUGUUUACUCAAAAUUAAGCCCCACUGUAUUCAUUGAGUUUUCAAACAACAGAACGCAGGACUGAACGAUUUAUCAGGUUUCCAGUAAAAAUCCUGGGAAUGCUGGCAACAUUCUUGUUUGCUCAGAUCUACUGAGUUGCAAAUCGAAGAAAUGCCAUUUACCAAUUAAGGGAGCUAUUAUUAUAGGAACAAACUAACAGCAAGCUUAACAGAAACAAGCUAUAGCCCGCAAGAAAUACAAAAUUUUUACAGCAUUCCACUCACUCUGCGUGAUAUGGAAUGACAGACUCCUGGAAGAAUUUUCUAACACUUUGCUGGAAGAUAUCGUGGUCUGAAGAGAAGAUCCUAUGUCCAUUAAAGUUUUAGCAGAAGAGGUUUCCAAGUGUGCGGUGUCAUGAUUUUCGGUAUUAAAGAACCUUAAGAAAGCAAAAUAGAGCAUUCGUGGCAGGAUAAAAUUCCAUACAUCUUUUUAAAAAACACGCCACAGCUGGCUUUUUAUUUUUGUUGGCUUUUCUUUGGGAUACUGGUCCUUUUUAGGUCCAUCUCUCCAUCAGUGAAAUUUGAUAAACUGCCACGCUGGGAUGUGCUGAUAAAUUUUAUUGGGGGAACGGUUGUAACCUGGGGGAAAUAUUUGGCUGACUCCUGCUACUAAUGAAAUGGCCAAACUUUGUCAAAAACUUGCUGCUUAUUUUGCUAUAUUGUACUGUACCGCAUUGUUUUGCUUGACAGGGUUUUUUUGAGAUUUAA